CCUACGGGAGGCAGCAGUGGGGAAUUUUGGACAAUGGGCGCAAGCCUGAUCCAGCCAUGCCGCGUGUGGGAAGAAGGCCUUCGGGUUGUAAACCACUUUUGUCAGGGAAGAAACGGUCUGAUCUAAUACAUUGGGCUAAUGACGGUACCUGAAGAAUAAGCACCGGCUAACUACGUGCCAGCAGCCGCGGUAAUACGUAGGGUGCAAGCGUUAAUCGGAAUUACUGGGCGUAAAGCGUGCGCAGGCGGCUUUGCAAGACAGAUGUGAAAUCCCCGGGCUCAACCUGGGAACUGCAUUUGUGACUGCAUGGCUAGAGUACGGUAGAGGGGGAUGGAAUUCCGCGUGUAGCAGUGAAAUGCGUAGAUAUGCGGAGGAACACCGAUGGCGAAGGCAAUCCCCUGGACCUGUACUGACGCUCAUGCACGAAAGCGUGGGGAGCAAACAGGAUUAGAUACCCUGGUAGUCCACGCCCUAAACGAUGUCAACUGGUUGUUGGACGGCUUGCUGUUCAGUAACGAAGCUAACGCGUGAAGUUGACCGCCUGGGGNGACGCGCGAGUAGAAGUACGAAGAGUAGUAGAGNGAGAGACGACGACGACGGACGACGAGGAGGGAGG
rnacentral:rRNA from 1 species